rnacentral:lncRNA from 1 species
AGUAAGGUGAUUUCUGACUGGUAGUCCACAAUGAUGGUAGAGUUGGAAAAAACACAUAGUUUAGCAGAUCAUAUAUCAUAUCUUAUAUAAAUAAACAAAUGCAUGAAAAAUUUGCAAAUCGAUGCAUAGGCUACCAAGUUCAAUACAUGUAGUAUUGAUAACCAAUCCGUUCGAAAAAAAAAUUCAGUAUUUUCUGGUAUGUUCAAUACAGGGGAAUUUUAUUUAGCUAUUAAAUGAGACUUUACUGCAGCUAAAUAUUUCUUCUUUUUCCAAAUGUUUGCAAAUUUAAGAUAUUUUUCUGUUGUUGCAGGACAUAAUACUUCAGCUUGUCUCUGGAGUUAUAUGUUAUAACAAUACAAUUGAUUAGAGCUGUUUUCAUUAAGGUCAGUAAUGCUAAAUCUUUCUUUCUAGUGUACUUGUUUGGGAGGUCUUUCAGUACUUACGUGGACUGGGAUAAGGCUGUCUUUAGCUGGAGGUAAGACUUGCU